GAUGAACGCUGGCGGCGUGCCUAAUACAUGCAAGUCGAGCGGUAAGGCUCUGCACUUAUUAUUUGAACGGAUACGUCCAUCAUUUAUGGUGAAGCGUACCGACAACGUCACUCUAUAGGCUAUAGAGUACGGUCGAAUAAUGGGUGUAGAGUACACGAGCGGCGGACGGCUGAGUAACGCGUAGGAAUGUACCCCAAAGUGAGGAAUAACUGCCCGAAAGGGUGGCUAAUGCCGCAUGUGCUCUAAGGAG
rnacentral:rRNA from 1 species